UGGAUUCUCUUAAAAGGAUGGGGCAACCAGAGCUUCAGACUACCAAGUACUAUUUACUGCAUUUGUUACUAAAGAAAAUGUUGAGAUAAAAGUGGAGGGAUUUCCUGGUAAGAGACAGCAGAGUCACAGUCAGGAGGCUUUUUGCAUUCCCUGGGGUAUUGCCAGUUAUGUUUACGGUAUCAUAUGACACACAGGAUUAACAUUGUACAUGCACCUUCUUUCUUCUCCUCCCUUCUUGUUUCCCAUCUCCUUACCCUGUCCCUCUAAUCCCCAUCCUGCAUUCAAUACACAUAUCCUGCAGGAGCAUUUUGAUCCUAAGAUGGCUACAGAGUGACAUGAGAAAAAUAGGGAUGCACAAAUCAGUGGUUCCCCAGGACUGCCACAAUUAGAGUUUGUUCUGAAUUGCUAAGGUAUGUUGGAAGACAGCAAAACAGGACUCUCACAUUAAGCACACAAGAGAGACAGCUACUCAAUGC